rnacentral:rRNA from 1 species
GACGAACGCUGGCGGCGUGCUUAACACAUGCAAGUCGAACGGAAAGGCCCUGCUUGCAGGGUACUCGAGUGGCGAACGGGUGAGUAGCACGUGGGUGAUCUGCCCUGCACUUCGGGAUAAGCUUGGGAAACUGGGUCUAAUACCGGAUAGGAGCCAUCUUUAGUGUGGUGGUUGGAAAGUUUUUUCGGUGUAGGAUGAGCUCGCGGCCUAUCAGCUUGUUGGUGGGGUAAUGGCCUACCAAGGCGGCGACGGGUAGCCGGCCUGAGAGGGUGUACGGCCACAUUGGGACUGAGAUACGGCCCAGACUCCUCCGGGAGGCAGCAGUGGGGAAUAUUGCACAAUGGGCGCAAGCCUGAUGCAGCGACGCCGCGUGGGGGAUGAAGGCCUUCGGGUUGUAAACUCCUUUCGCUAGGGACGAAGCUUUGUUGUGACGGUACCUAGAUAAGAAGCACCGGCUAACUACGUG